rnacentral:rRNA from 1 species
GACAGCAGCCAUAUCACUCUGCAAGUCACAACUGGCAACCCACUGAGGUGUGAGCCUGGUCAGUACCUGGAUGGGAGACCUCCUGGGAAAAACUAAGGUUGCUGCUGGAA